rnacentral:rRNA from 1 species
GACAGAGGGUGCUAGCGUUGUUCGGAAUUACUGGGCGUAAAGGGCGCGUAGGCGGCCCGUUUAGUCGGGUGUGAAAUCCCGGGGCUCAACCCCGGAACUGCACUCGAUACUGGCGGGCUUGAGACCGGAAGAGGUGGGUGGAAUACCCAGUGUAGAGGUGAAAUUCGUAGAUAUUGGGUGGAACACCGGUGGCGAAGGCGGCUCACUGGUCCGGACCUGACGCUGAGACGCGAAGGCGUGGGGAGCGAACGGG